AGAGCGAACGCUGGCGGCAGGCCUAACACAUGCAAGUCGAGCGGCCGUAGCAAUACGGCAGCGGCAGACGGGAGAGUAACACGUGGGAACGCGCCCUUCGGUUCGGAAUAACUCAGGGAAACUUGGGCUAAUACCGGAUACGCCCUUACGGGGAAAGAUUUAUUGCCGAAGGAACGGCCCGCGUCCGAUUAGCUUGUUGGUGAGGUAACGGCUCACCAAGGCGACGAUCGGUAGCUGGUCUGAGAGGAUGACCAGCCUCACUGGGACUGAGACACGGCCCAGACUCCUACGGGAGGCAGCAGUGGGGAAUAUUGGACAAUGGGCGCAAGCCUGAUCCAGCCAUGCCGCGUGGGUGAUGAAGGCCCUAGGGUUGUAAAGCCCGUUUCGGCGGGGAAGAUAAGUGACGGUACCCGCGAGAAGAACGCCCGGCUAACUUCGUGCCAGCAGCCGC
rnacentral:rRNA from 1 species